rnacentral:rRNA from 1 species
GACGAGCGCGGGCGGCGUGCCUAAUACAUGCAAGUAGAACGCUGAAGCCUGGUGCUUGCACCGAGCGGAUGAGUUGCGAACGGGUGAGUAACGCGUAGGUAACCUGCCUGGUAGCGGGGGAUAACUAUUGGAAACGAUAGCUAAUACCGCAUAAGAGCAGAUAUUGCAUGACAUUUGCUUAAAAGGUGCAAUUGCAUCACUACCAGAUGGACCUGCGUUGUAUUAGCUAGUUGGUGAGGUAACGGCUCACCAAGGCAACGAUACAUAGCCGACCUGAGAGGGUGAUCGGCCACACUGGGACUGAGACACGGCCCAGACUCCUACGGGAGGCAGCAGUAGGGAAUCUUCGGCAAUGGACGGAAGUCUGACCGAGCAACGCCGCGUGAGUGAAGAAGGUUUUCGGAUCGUAAAGCUCUGUUGUAAGAGAAGAACGAGUGUGAGAGUGGAAAGUUCACACUGUGACGGUAUCUUACCAGAAAGGGACGGCUAACUACGUGCCAGCAGCCGCGGUAAUACGUAGGUCCCGAGCGUUGUCCGGAUUUAUUGGGCGUAAAGCGAGCGCAGGCGGUUAGAUAAGUCUGAAGUUAAAGGCUGUGGCUUAACCAUAGUACGCUUUGGAAACUGUUUAACUUGAGUGCAAGAGGGGAGAGUGGAAUUCCAUGUGUAGCGGUGAAAUGCGUAGAUAUAUGGAGGAACACCGGUGGCGAAAGCGGCUCUCUGGCUUGUAACUGACGCUGAGGCUCGAAAGCGUGGGGAGCAAACAGG